GUUGGAUUUUCCUAGAAUAUUGGCAAUGGUAAGAGGGUGAGAUUCUGGGAGGAUCAUUAGUUUGGUAAUGGUACCUUAGCUACCCAGUAUUGGGAUAUUUAUGUCUUAGUUAAUGAGCAUAAUAUAACUAUUGACAAGAUCUGGAAUGGAGACACCCUUAAGCUAACAUUCAGGAGAUGUUUUUCUCAUGAGCUUAUGGCCCUAUGGUUUGAGCUACUAGAAAUUGUUAACUCUAUCCAGUUCAAGGUUCAAGAGGUUCCCUGGUCUGGAAUAUGA
rnacentral:rRNA from 1 species